rnacentral:rRNA from 1 species
GUUCGUAGGUGGUUAAAAAAGUUGGUGGUGAAAUCCCAGAGCUUAACUCUGGAACUGCCAUCAAAACUUUUUAGCUAGAGUAUGAUAGAGGAAAGCAGAAUUUCUAGUGUAGAGGUGAAAUUCGUAGAUAUUAGAAAGAAUACCAAUUGCGAAGGCAGCUUUCUGGAUCAUUACUGACGCUGAGGAACGAAAGCAUGGGUAGCGAAGAGGAUUAGAUACCCUCGUAGUCCAUGCCGUAAACGAUGUGUGUUAGAUGUUGGAAAUUUAUUUUCAGUAUCGCAGCGAAAGCAUUAAACACACCGCCUGGGGAGUACGACCGCAAGGUUAAAACUCAAAUGAAUUGACGGGGACCCGCACAAGUAGUGGAGCAUGUGGUUUAAUUCGAAGAUACGCGCAGAACCUUACCAACACUUGACAUGUUUGUCGCGACUUUAAGAGAUUAAAGUCUUCGGUUCGGCCGGACAAAACACAGGUGCUGCAUGGCUGUCGUCAGCUCGUGUCGUGAGAUGUUGGGUUAAGUCCCGCAACGAGCGCAACCCUCACUUUUAGUUGCCAUCAUUUAGUUGGGCACUCUGAAAGAACUGCCAGUGAUAAGCUGGAGGAAGGUGGGGAUGACGUCAAGUCCUCAUGGCCCUUACGUGUUGGGCUACACACGUGCUACAAUGGCAUUUACAAUAGGAAGCAAGACGGCGACGUCAAGCAAAUCCUAAAAAGAUGCCUCAGUUCGGAUUGUACUCUGCAACUCGAGUACAUGAAGCUGGAAUUACUAGUAAUCGCGGAUCAGCGCGCCGCGGUGAAUACGUUCCCGGGUCUUGUACACACCGCCCGUCACACCAUGGGAGUUGGUUCUACCUUAAGGCAAAGCUUAAAACCUUUGACCACGGUAUAGUCAGCGACUGGGGUGAAGUCAUAACAAGGUAGCCGUA